AGGGUCCUCACCAGGUUUGGAUUAGCCUAAAGGGUCCUCACCAGGUUAGGACUAUCCUAAAGGGUCCUCACCAGGUUAGGACUAUCCUAAAGGGUCCUCACCAGGUUAGGACUAUCCUAACGGGUCCUCACCAGGUUAGGAUUACCCUAAAGGGUCCUCACCAGGUUAGGAUUAGACUAUUUCACUGUAAACCUAAGAGAAUGAGGUAAUGACUGAGGACUAUUUCAUUGUAAACCUAAGAGAAUGAGGUAAUGACUGAGGACUAUUUCACUGUAAACCUAAGAUAGUGAGGUAAUGAUUGCCAGGUGAGGACUAUUUCACUGUAAACCUAAGAUAGUGAGGUAAUGAUUGCCAGGUGAGGACUAUUUCACUGUAAACCUAAGAUAGUGAAGUAACGAUUGCCAGGUGAGGACUAUUUCAUUCUAAACCGAAGAGAAUGAGGUAAUGACUGCCGAAGAAUAUUUGUCAUCUCCGAGUCUGAUAUGAAUCUUUCUGAGCUAUAGUCUUUUGUCAUUAAUGUCUAGAUACAUUGUGCAACCUCCUCAGUGUGUGUUCAGACUACGACAAUAUACACUGCUCAAAAAAAUAAAGGG
rnacentral:lncRNA from 1 species